GACGAACGCUGGCGGCGUGCCUAAUACAUGCAAGUUGAGCGCUGAAGGUUGGUACUUGUACCCACUGGAUGAGCAGCGCACGGGUGAGUAACGCGUGGGGAAUCUGCCUUUGAGCGGGGGACAACAUUUGGAAACGAAUGCUAAUACCGCAUAAAAACUUUAAACACAAGUUUUAAGUUUGAAAGAUGCAAUUGCAUCACUCAAAGAUGAUCCCGCGUUGUAUUAGCUAGUUGGUGAGGUAAAGGCUCACCAAGGCGAUGAUACAUAGCCGACCUGAGAGGGUGAUCGGCCACAGUGGGACUGAGACACGGCCCAAACACCUACGGGAGGAAGCAGUAGGGAAUCUUCGGCAAGGGACGAAAGUCUGAACGAGCAACGCCGCGUGAGUGAAGAAGGUUUUCGGAUCGUAAAACUCUGUUGGUAGAGAAGAACGUUGGUGAGAGUGGAAAGCUCAUCAAGUGACGGUAACUACCCAGAAAGGGACGGCUAACUACGUG
rnacentral:rRNA from 1 species